GAAAGUGGAGCUCAGUGGUAGAGUGCAUGUUUAAUAUGCAUGAGGUCCUGGGUUCAAUCCCCAGUACCUUCA
rnacentral:tRNA from 1 species